rnacentral:rRNA from 1 species
GACGUAGGGCGCGAGCGUUGUCCGGAUUUAUUGGGCGUAAAGAGCUCGUAGGUGGUGUGUCGCGUCUGCCGUGAAAGCCCGGGGCUUAACUCCGGGUCUGCGGUGGAUACGGGCAGACUAGAGUGAUGUAGGGGAGACUGGAAUUCCUGGUGUAGCGGUGAAAUGCGCAGAUAUCAGGAGGAACACCGAUGGCGAAGGCAGGUCUCUGGGCAUUAACUGACGCUGAGGAGCGAAAGCAUGGGGAGCGAACAGG